UACGUAGGGUGCAAGCGUUGUCCGGAAUUAUUGGGCGUAAAGAGCUCGUAGGCGGUCUGUCGCGUCUGCUGUGAAAACUCGGGGCUUAACCCCGGGCCUGCAGUGGGUACGGGCAGACUAGAGUGCGGUAGGGGAGACUGGAAUUCCUGGUAUAGCGGUGAAAUGCGCAGAUAUCAGGAGGAACACCGAUGGCGAAGGCAGGUCUCUGGGCCACUACUGAUGCUGAGAAGCGAAAGCAUGGGGAGCGAACAGG
rnacentral:rRNA from 1 species